rnacentral:rRNA from 1 species
AUUGAACGCUGGCGGCAGGCCUAACACAUGCAAGUCGAGCGGCAGCGGGAAAGUAGCUUGCUACUUUUGCCGGCGAGCGGCGGACGGGUGAGUAAUGCCUGGGAAAUUGCCCAGUCGAGGGGGAUAACAGUUGGAAACGACUGCUAACACCGCAUACGCCCUACGGGGGAAAGCAGGGGACCUUCGGGCCUUGCGCGAUUGGAUAUGCCCAGGUGGGAUUAGCUAGUUGGUGAGGUAAUGGCUCACCAAGGCGACGAUCCCUAGCUGGUCUGAGAGGAUGAUCAGCCACACUGGAACUGAGAAACGGUCCAGGCUCCUACGGGAGGCAGCAGUGGGGAAUAUUGCACAAUGGGGGAAACCCUGAUGCAGCCAUGCCGCGUGUGUGAAGAAGGCCUUCGGGUUGUAAAGCACUUUCAGCGAGGAGGAAAGGUCAGUAGCUAAUACCUGCUGGCUGUGACGUUACUCGCAGAAGAAGCACCGGCUAACUCCGUGCCAGCAGCCGCGGUAAUAC